rnacentral:rRNA from 1 species
ACUACGGGGGGCAGCAGUGGGGAAUAUUGCACAAUGGGGGAAACCCUGAUGCAGCGACGCCGCGUGAGUGAAGAAGGAUUUCGGGAUGUAAAGCUCUAUCAGCAGGGAAGAAAAUGACGGUACCUGACUAAGAAGCCCCGGCUAACUACGUGCCAGCAGCCGCGGUAAUACGUAGGGGGCAAGCGUUAUCCGGAUUUACUGGGUGUACAGGGAGCGUAGGCGGCGCGUCAAGGCUGACGUGAAAGGCAGGGGCUUAACCCCUGAACUGCUUUGGAAACUGCCAUGCUAGAGUGCUGGAGGGGUCAGUGGACUUCCUAGUGUAGCGGUGAACUGCGUAGCUAUUAGGAGGAACACCAGUGGCGAAGGCGGCUUACUGGACAGUAACUGACGUUGAGGCUCGAAAGCGUGGGGAGCAAACAGGAUUAGAUACCCGUGUAGUC